rnacentral:lncRNA from 1 species
UUUUGAAGUCUGGCUCUCCCCGAGGGAAGCUGUGCUGGGAGCCAGGAGAGACUCCAGGAAGAUAUUGCACUACUGCAAAACACAAACACGUGUAAUCAUAAAAUGCAGCCCUGGGAAAUAGAAUAUGAUCAUCUCAGACUUAACAUUGUGGACAAUGGGAGACAGAUACUGCCUCUCCCUCUGCAUGAGAAAUCUUGUGUUCCCAAGCAAGUCUGGCAGGCACUUGCAGCUGUCAUCUAGGAAACACCUCAUGUGUGUAGCCUGCAGAGGUGGCCACUAAAGGAGCUGCCUCUCUAACCUGGGACAACUCAUCCAGGCUCAGAUCUUCAAAGUCAAUGCCAGAAAUGUACCUGAAUGACUCUGAUAGUCUAUGUCUCAUCCUUAACCUGAAGAAAACAGCAUAUUCCUGUCUUAGAGAUGAUGUAGGCCAGAUGCAUUAAGGAACCAGGAGCUGAUCAAAUAUUGCAGCAAUGGAGACGGACUUUCAGCAUGUACUUUGAAAAGCCCAGCCAAAAAAAUUAAUUCCUGUUUUCAUGCAAAUGUCCUUGGUGAUUAAAAAUAAAAGAUGGAGACAGUACA